rnacentral:rRNA from 1 species
CACACGCGGCAUUGCUGGAUCAGGGUUGCCCCCAUUGUCCAAAAUUCCCCACUGCUGCCUCCCGUAGGAGUCUGGGCCGUGUCUCAGUCCCAGUGUGGCUGAUCGUCCUCUCAGACCAGCUACUGAUCGUCGCCUUGGUAGGCCUUUACCCCACCAACUAGCUAAUCAGACAUCGGCCGCUCCUAUCGCGCGAGGCCGUUACCGGUCCCCCGCUUUCACCCUCAGGUCGUAUGCGGUAUUAGCUAAUCUUU